GAUGAACGCUGGCGGCGUGCCUAACACAUGCAAGUCGAGCGAUUCUCUUCGGAGAAGAGCGGCGGACGGGUGAGUAACGCGUGGGUAACCUGCCCUGUACACACGGAUAACAUACCGAAAGGUAUGCUAAUACGAGAUAAUAUACAUUUAUCGCAUGGUAGAAGUAUCAAAGCUCCGAUGGUACAGGAUGGACCCGCGUCUGAUUAGCUGGUUGGUAAGGUAACGGCUUACCAAGGCGACGAUCAGUAGCCGAGCUGAGAGGGUGAUCGGCCACAUUGGAACUGAGACACGGUCCAAACUCUUACGGGAGGCAGCAGUGGGGAAUAUUGCACAAUGGGCGAAAGCCUGAUGCAGCAACGCCGCGUGAGUGAUGAAGGCCUUCGGGUCGUAAAGCUCUGUCCUCAAGGAAGAUAAUGACGGUACUUGAGGAGGAAGCCCCGGCUAACUACGUGCCAGCAGCCGCAGUAAGAC
rnacentral:rRNA from 1 species